rnacentral:lncRNA from 1 species
UACUUAAUUUUUUUACAGCCUUCCUUCUCUCCCUUUACAAGGAGUUAAAUGAUUUGUCCCAAAUCACACAACUAGCAAGUGACAGGAUAAAAACUUGAAAGGAGAUUAUUUGACUUAUAAAUCCAGUUUCUCUUCAUUUCAUCAUAAAGCAGACUGACUAUCAGAGGGAAUAAUGGAGUGACUAUGAAGCAACCGUUCUCUAAUGCCCUUAACUGACCCAGCAGCCAAAAACAUCUGAAGAGGUGGAGAACAAAUGAGAUAAGUGAUUUCUUAAGGUCGGUUCUUUCAGUAUAUCAGUAUUGGAGAGUCAACUGUUGUGGCCAUAGAUGGAAAUACAGGAAGUGACAGCUUAUUUGACUCUUGAUUGCCUUAAGAGGAUGCUAGAAGCAGUGAGAAUGCAGUAAAUGGAAUAAAGCUCCAGCUGCAUUACCUGAACUCCAAAUAUUAUUACCAGCAUUCAAGAGUGAAAAGGCCUGGGGAAGCCUGAUAGCACAAGGAUUAGACAGACAUAGUAAGGCUGAGGGUGCCUUUGCUCAUAAGUCUUUUUUAGUUUAUUAAUUUUCCAAUCGAUGGCAAAAUUGCUUCAAUUUAGUCUGUAUAAUCAAAGCAGGUUUCUGGUUAGUUCUAUGAAGAAUUCAACAGCUAUUGAGUUUCUGCUGUUUCAGGUAUUAUGUUAGUCCCAGGGAACAAGACAGAUAUAAUCCCUAAUCUCAUGGAGAUUCUAAUGUAGCACAAAAUACAGAUAUUAAGUAACACAUCAUUUCAAGGGUGUUGAAAACAAAAGAGGAGGAACAGAAUUGUACUGGACACUAUUGGUGCUGUGACAAGAUUCUUUUGAAACCUUUGAAUUGUUUCUGUGAACUUCUCUCCCAGCUUCUGAGGGCCUUUGCUUCCAAUUGACUGCACUUGAUCAUUUUCUGGACGGCUGCCUUCAGAACACUGGAGUGGAUUGCCUGCAAGCAUAGAAAGUGGGAGUUGCCUAGGAGUUUAAGUGCCCCUAUCCAAUGAUUGGUAGGAGAGUCUAAAAUCCCAGCCUCCUUGCCUUCUGGAAAAACAAAGUUAGGGGCAGCAUUUACACUACAGAGUUCUCUUGAUUAGGCUGAGCAUGAGCCUUUGAUGACUGAACCCUUGCUGGAUGUUGUGGCCAUUAAGAAUGCACCUCACCGACCUCCAGCUAUAAAGAGCAUAAUUGACUGAUGGCCCCAGCUGCUGCUUCUGAACUCCAUCACUGAGUUUGUCUCAGGGCUGCACUUCCCCCAGGCUGUUCCCAGCCAACAACUGAGCGUGGCAGGGACACUAAGACAGGCCCAUUCCCAGGAGGCCUAGGAUUCCCAUGACAGGUAACUUUGGCUCAACAACUAUUUGACAGCCUCAGCCAAUUUUUCUUAGACUGAAGAGGGGUCUAGGAUGCUCCCACGACCCUUCAUUGCCUUCUUCCUUCACAUGGGCUCAGACCUGUAUCACAGCCUUAUGGCUUUUCCAGCCCAUCCUGAUUACCCUCUGCCAAUUUACUUUUAUAGGUAUUUCCCUGAUAAAAUCCUCAGAUGCUUAAUUCCAUCUAGGCAUCUGCUCCUCAGAGGAUCCAGAAGAACACACUGGGCUUCCCUACGCUUACUCUUCACACGCACUUCUUUAUGGUUUCUCCUGCGGGCACUUGCACAUGAAUCCUCCUCUCAAGGUCUGCUUCUCUGGAAUCCAAUGUAAUGACAAGGGCUCAAUGGGAAUACAUAAUAAAUGAAUCUAAUCAAUUACCAUUACAGUUGUGUUGAAGUUUGAAAGAAUAGUAAACAUUAAUAGGCAAAAGGAUGGAAGAGGCAGGAUUUUCCAGGUAGAAGAAAUAUCAUAUUCAAAAGUUAGCAGGCAAGACUGAAAAUGUCAGAGUCAAAGAAAGGAGCAAUUAAUAAUUAAUGUAGUGACAGAUGAAGGAAGAAGCCACCUAUGAAGAGCCCAGUUGACUGUGCUAAGGAUUUUCAUCUUUCCUUAAGAGUAAAGAGCCACCGUAAGACUUUAAACAGAGAGACAAAAGGAUCAGAUUUGCAUGUUUAAAACAUCAUUCUGGAACAUUAAUUGCAGGGUAGCAUAGAAGAGGGGAGAGCAGAUAGAAAGUGAUGCAUUGGUCUGGUGCGGGACUAGGGUGGCUCAGACUGAAGCAGGGGUCGGCAAACCACAGCCUACAGCCUGUUUCUGUAUGGCCCAAAGACAAAGAAAAAUUUUUCAUUUUUAAAGGGCUGUUGCAAUGUACUGAAUGCUUGUGACCUGCCUCUUCUAAAUUCAUAUGUUGAAGCCCUAGCCCCCAGUGUGAUGCUAUUAGGAGGAAGGGCCUUUUGGAGGUAAUGGGACAUGAUGAUGGGACCUUUAUUAAUGGGAUUAGUGCCCUUACAGAAGAAAUCCCAGAAGGGAUUCUCACCCUCUUUCCACCAUAUAAGGAUACAAGGAGAAACUGGGAAGCUGCAACCCAGAAGAAGGUCCUCAUCAGAACUGCCCAUGCUGGCACCCUGAUCUUGAACUAUCGUCCUCCAGAACUGUACAAAAUAAAUUGUGGUUGUUUAUAAGCCACCCAUUCUCUGGUACUUUGUUGUAGCAGCCUAAAUUGACUAAGACACUUGUUAAAACAAUAAUAACAAAAAUGAAGAAUAUGUAACAGAGCCCAUAUGUGGUCCUGAACCCCUAAAAUAUUCCCUGUCUGGUCCUUUGCAGGAGAAUACGUGUGGAUCAUGGACUAGAAUAAUGACAAUGGGAAUGGGGAAAACUAGUUGGAUCAAAGAAAUAUUUUGGAGAUUUUCUUCAAAUAUGUCAAUUAAGACUACGUAUCACAACAGAUUGAAUGCUGAAGUGGACAGAAAAACCCACUGUCUUUCUUUAAAUCAGAAAACUACCUUGGACUACGAGGGUGUGGGGUGAGCCAGCCAUUACCCCCACCCUGAAGCCUGUCCCCCUUUUCUUCUCCAUGGACUACAAGGGGUCUUGAGGGCAUGCAGGUGAACACCCAGAUCACAAGUCCAAGCAGAUACCCACCUGCUGCAAACAGCUACCUAUUGGCCACCUUUUGGGCCUAGGGGUAUGCAUAUCUACAGCGACAUCCACUUUCAGAAGGACAGACACUUUGAAGAAACCUAUGUAGGCCCUGGAGGCAGGAUUUGGACCAUUUGGGCAAGAAAUCCAGGGUUCCAGGUACUCAUGGCUUGGUCAAAAUAGAAGGUUCCAGCUGGGCCCUUCUCUACCUUGUAGAUUCUCCAUUCCCAGAGGAACAUAGUCAGAAAAGGGCCAUAGUGGAGCCCUUUGAAUCAACAAAAGACCUCUUCCCUCUGUUUCUUGGGUCUAAAGGCAGUACUCUGUCAAAUCCUUUAUCAACUCUGAACCACAGUUUUCUCUCUAUAAACUCAGAUGGUCAGAAUAAAUUCAAUCUCAUACCAAUCCUUCAAGAGUCUGUCUUGUUCCUAACCCAAGGAAGGUAGCAUUAAGUUCUUGCUGAGUAAUCAAAACU